rnacentral:lncRNA from 1 species
ACCAUACUACUAUCAUUCACCACCUCCUCUGGUGAAGUCUCCUCCACCACCAUACUAUUACCAUUCACCACCACCUCCAGUAAAAUCUCCUCCCCCCCCAUACUACUAUCACUCCCCACCUCCUCCAGUGAAGUCUCCUCCGCCACCUUACUAUUAUCACUCCCCACCUCCUCCAGUAAAAUCACCACCACCACCAUAUUAUUACCACUCUCCACCUCCUCCCGUGAAAUCCCCCCCACCUCCAUACUACUACCACUCACCACCCCCUCCGGUAAAAUCACCCCCACCACCAUAUUACUAUCACUCCCCACCUCCACCAGUGAAAUCCCCACCACCACCGUACUACUACCAUUCUCCACCCCCACCGGUAAAAUCUCCGCCACCACCAUACUAUUACCACUCCCCACCUCCUCCGGUGAAAUCUCUACCACCACCGUACUAUUACCAUUCACCACCUCCUCCGGUGAAAUCUCCUCCUCCACCAUACUACUAUCACUCACCUCCUCCACCAGUAAAAUCUCCUCCGCCACCGUACUAUUACCACUCUCCACCUCCUCCAGUGAAGUCGCCUCCACCUCCUUAUUACUACCACUCACCUCCUCCUCCGGUGAAAUCCCCACCACCACCAUAUUAUUACCACUCACCACCCCCACCCGUCAAAUCUCCUCCACCUCCAUAUUAUUACCACUCACCACCUCCUCCGGUGAAAUCUCCACCACCACCAUAUUAUUACCACUCACCUCCUCCUCCGGUGAAAUCUCCACCACCACCAUAUUACUACCAUUCACCUCCCCCUCCAGUCAAAUCUCCACCACCACCAUAUUACUACCAUUCACCUCCCCCUCCAGUGAAAUCCCCACCACCACCAUAUUACUACCAUUCACCACCUCCUCCAGUGAAAUCUCCACCACCACCAUACUACUACAACUCUCCACCACCACCAGUAAAAUCUCCCCCACCUCCCGUCUACAUCUACGCUUCUCCCCCACCUCCUACCCAUUACUAGGCUCGUCAAAUUCAACCAAGUUUCCCCAUUAUUCAAGUAAGUCCCAAGGCUCCAAUAUUCUAAGUAUGCUCCAUAUC